rnacentral:ncRNA from 1 species
GAGAGCCGUGUGAUGGGUGACUAUCCAGCACGGUUCGGAGAGCACUUUUAGUCUGC